AGUUUCUCUCUCUGUCCAGCCCCACCACUGCUGGCCCCAACCAUGUUCCUGAUUACCUAGGAAAAACAGCCUUACAAAUUAGACAUCUGCAUCUGGAUAGGUAAAAGUGUCCUUUGUGGGCCUAGAUGGUAUCUGCUCCUCUCAAUUUGGGAAUUUUUUUUUUUUUUUUUGAGACGGAGUCUGGCUCUGUUGCCCAGGCUAGAGUGCAAUGGCGUGAUCUCGACUCACUGCAAGCUCCGCCUCCCGGGUUCACUCCAUUCUCCUGCUUCAGCCUCCCGAGUAGCUGGGACUACAGGAGCCUGCCACCAUGCCCGGCUAAUUUUUUUGUAUUUUUAGUAGAGACGGGGUUUCACCGUGUUAGCCAGGAUGGUCUCGAUCUCCUGACCUCAUGAUCCGCCUGCCUCGGCCUCCCAAAGUGCUGGGAUUACAGGCAUGAGCUACCACACCUGGCUGGGAAAUUUUUUAAAGAAUUUCCAUUUAUAGGUUGAACAAGCCCAACUGAGAGAGGGAAGCACCCUGACUGUCUCAGUUUGGAUACUCUUAGAGCUCGUUGUUACAGCAGUUGGUUUAUAUUUUUGUGGUUGUGUGUGUUGAUAUAGUCAUGGGAAAUUAGAGUUUGAUAAACUGAUAUAAUUGAUAUUCUUCUGUAAUGCUGUUUGACUUCAAUAUUCCAUUUUUUUUAAGACAGGAUCUUACUCUGUUGCCCAGGCUGGAGUGCAAUAGUGUCAUCAUGGCUCACUGUAGCCUGGAACUGCUGGGCUCAAGGGAUCCUCCCAGCUCAGCCUCCCAAGUAGCUAGGAGUACAGGUACAUGCCAUCAUGCCUAGCUUUUUUUUUUUUUUUUUAAUUUUUGGAGAGAUAAGUUCCCAUCAUGUUGCCCAGGCUGGUCUCUAACUCUUGGACUCAAGUGGUCCUCCCACAUCAGCCUCUCAAAGUGCUGGGAUUGCAGGUGUUAGCCACUGCACUUGGCCUGGCCCCAGUAUUCUUUGGGAUCUGGAGUUUGCUGUUGAAUGAGAAGGCAAGAUGAAAUUCCAUGUAGUCAGACUCUUACGCUGCUGUUCUAAGCAGGGUUGGGCCUGAUUAGUAGGUUAUAGAUGAUGUUUUUCUGUGGUGCUAUCUGGACCUAGUGCUCUUUGGCAUCUGGGAAGGUAUGGCCUUUAAAAAGCAAACUGCCAUGAGAACUGCUUUACCCCAAAUUUUGGUUCACAGCCUUCAUUUGAUUAUGUAUUGGGGCAAAAAUAGUUUAGCCAUGUGAACCUGUUUGUAAACUGGUGAGUUUCUAUUGCUAUUUCAUAGCUAAAGUUUUGAGGUAAAUGCUAUUGGAUCUUUGUGUCUGUGUGUGUAUACAUAUUUAGAUGUGUUUAUGUGUAUGUACAUUUAUUAUAUGUUGUGUCUACCAACUUUGCUUAUAAGCAAAAGAAUGCUUGUAAAUUAAGUAAAUAAGUUCAAGAAUUUUUUAAAUUCACUUGAUUAAGUAAAUUGUUAAUUUUAAAAACUACCUUUAAAGUUAUUGGUAAGGUAAAAAUAGAAAUGUCUUUGGAAUUGCCAGCAUACCUUUUUGUCUGGGUUUUAUAUUUGUCUCUGCUAGAUAUUUUGGGGUGUCGGGGUUUAGCAUAAAAGGUUAUAAAACAAUAUACCCAGCCAAAACUAAAUAGUCUUUGUUGGUGUGACUUUUUUCGAUAAGUAAGACUAAUUCAAUGUUAGUUUAAUGAAAAUAGCUGAAUUUUCUGAAUUAUUGACACAAUACCCAUGUAUUUAACUUUAAAAGGGUUCUUACUUAGGUGAACAUCUGAUCUUCGCAGGCUAUAAAAAAGGUUAACAAGGAAAUAACUUGAAAUGAUGAUUAGCUUUGUCUAAUAUUUCAGUUUUCAGAAGUAAUCUAGAUAAAUCGUUUGAAAAAAUGAAAGAAUCAUGUACAUGUAAAUGGGAUAAAUGCUUGUAGCUGCACUUUUUAAUGUAAUUUGAAAUCUUGAAGUUAUUUAGGAUUGAAUAAUAGAUGCUUUUUGGCCAUCUGGGUCACUUCCAAUUAAGAAAGGAUUAUGGGGCCGGAUGUGGUGGCUCAGGUCUGUAAUCCCAGCACUUUGGGAGGCCAAGGCAGGCAGAUCACCUGAGAUCCGGAGUUCAAGACCAGCCUGGCCAACAUGGUGAAACCCCAUCUCUGCUAAAAAUACAAAAAUUAGCUGGGCAUGGUGGCAGGCACCUGUAAUCCCAGUUUCUUGGAAGGCUGAGGCAGGAAAAUCACUUGAACCCAGGAGGCGGAGGUUGCAGUGAGCCAAGACCAUGCCAUUGCAUUCCAGCCUGAGUGACAAGAGCAAAACUCCGUCAAAAAAAAGAAAAGAAAAAAAGAAAAGAAAGAAAGAAGGGAGGGGAGGGAGGGAGGGACGAAGGAAGGAAAGAAGGAAAGAAAGAAAGAAAGAAAGAAAGAAAGAAAGAAAGAAAGAAAGAAAGAAAGAAAGAAAAGAAAGGAAAGAAAGGAAAGAAAGAAGGAAAGAAAGAAGGAAAGAAAGAAAGAAGGAAGGAAGGAAGGAAGGAAAAGAAAGAGAAAGGAGAGAAAGAAAGGGUUAUGACGUUGGGAAGCAUGUUUUUUAAAAUUGUGGAAUGUUCUCAUCUCUAAAAUGUUAAUAUCUGACAGCUAGUUCAGAAUGUCUUAUUCCUAGGUUUUCACUAAAAUUUAAAGUUACUAAGAAUCAGAAUGGCAAUUAAUAUAUUAUUCUGUAUAUAAAAUGUGUGAGAGAAGAUGUGUUUUUACAGAGAAAAACAAAUUAUUUUGUCUAAUUCAUAAGUUAUGUAAAGGUUGAUACAAAUUAUGGACCAUGGUAAACUUUUGUCCUAAAAUAAAAUAAUUGGUCAUUUAAAAAAAAAAACCAAAGAAAGAAAGAAAAUCUAGGACAAAAACAAAGUCCAAACAUGUUGAAUGGUUUGUGUAAAUAAGUAGUAAAAUACUCUUUAAAAUCUGAUAGAAAAUUGGAGACAUUUGGCUAAUUAACAUUGCUCAUAGCUAAAGAUCUUAGUAUUGAUGAAGGUAAAUUAAGAAAUACUGUAAAGAAAUAUAUUGGCAGCUUGGCAAUUCUUUUCUUUUUUUUUUUUAACAUACUUAAGCAUGAAUCCAGAUUUAGCAUGGAGCCAAAUUUUACAUACAGGCUUGCAUUGCUUUGUUUCACACUGUAUUUGCUAUUCUGCAUAGAUAGUACUAGCACUAAAGUACUUACUGGUCACGUGCUUGAAGUAAAUUUCUUAAUUGCACAGAAGGUAUAGUGACGUUGCUGGACUUAGAGACAUUAAUUUGUAUAAUAGGAACAAAAUAUCCAACAUAUGUUUGUUUUAGGCUCUGGAUUAUACUGUAACCUUCAAAGUAAACUGAGUAGGUGAAAAAUUGGGGGUUGGUUUCCCGUUUGUUUUUGCUUUUAAUUUUUAAUUAUUUGCUAUUUGUUCUCCUUUGGGUUUUACUGGUAUAUACACAUAUAAAAAACCAUUGAUAUUUUUAGUUUUUAAUGGAAGGCUUGUAUUUUCUUCUAUGAAUAGUCAUUUUGUUUCCCAUGCAUUUCCAACAAUUCAUUAUUUGCUCUAUUUAUCUAAAGUUCUUAAGCUAUCUUUGUCAGGCCUGCAAAAAUGGAUAGGGGACACCAGCCAUUAAAAAUUUGAUUGGUUUUGCUGACUCUGAUGAUCUAGAGAGCUACAAGAGCUUUAAGCUAUGGGUCAAAAAAGAACCCCUAAAAAACAAAAAACCUUGUUUCUUUAAAUAAGUUCUGAGCAGAAAUAGUAGAUUACUUAUUUAUUUGGAAAAGCAGGUAAGAGAAGAAAUGUUUAGACAGUUUUUUUCCCUAAGGAAAUUCAAUUCAAUCAAUAAUUUGAAUCGGUUUCAGAUCUUUUUCUUUAGGUAAUGAGGAAAAAUUGUGAUGGGGUACAAAGUUUUAAUGUUCAGGAAAGACUAGCUUUGUCCUUAAAAGAAAUUAUAUUGACUGGGAUUUCUCUCAGACUACGUUAGUUGUAUUUACCACUAUCAAAACUAAGUGACAUUCACUUGGAUUAAGUAGAAGUAAAAAUGUCAGGCUUUCUAGUGAUUCUUUUUUAUUCCAAAUCUGUUAUCACUAUUAGGCCUUAACGUGUGUACUUGAAAACAAAAUAUAUACUAGUAUUAUUCUGUUUUGAAGAUUCUGGAGUUGAAAUCUACCUAAUAGUUGUCAGUACCGUAUCUAGAAACCAGUCUUGGAAAUGUAUGAUGAUGCUCUUUUAAAAUAGCAGAAAAAAAUAUUCUGUGCUUGUUUUUACUUUGUCCCUGUUUCACUGUAUAGUAUUUAAGCAAAAAGAGAUUAUUUAUCUUCAUAUUGAAUUUCCCAAACAGAUAUUUGCAUUUACCAUUUUCUUAAAUGAUGGAGAAUAAAGUUAAUUGUCUUACUUGGAUAAGUUUGGCAUUGGACCUAUCACAUUUUUGAUGCUUUGAGUCACAGUUCUGUCACUACAAUGUUAGAAAUUAGAUAUAUGCAAGGAAUAAUCUAGCCACUUUAAUACAGUGAUUUAAAGUGCUGCAGGCAUUAACUACUAGACACCAAUUCACAGUGCUUUAAUUUGUGACAUGUGAGGGAGAAUGACAGGACUUUCUAUAAUAUAAAUGUCCUAUUAACUAGUCCUUGUACUGUUAAGUUAGGACUUUGACUCUUGGGUCUAAAAAAGGCACAGACUCAUGCCAAAUCUUGAACAUUGACAGUAGUCAAAGCCUUGUUUUCAGACCCAGGAGAAGGUGACAAUCAAAAUGAACAACUUGCCCGAGACACAGGGCUAGAAAUUAAAACUAUUCAAUCCCUGUAGGCCCAGGAACUAUUGUGGAAGAUGUGGGUGCAUGUGAGAUUUUAAGGGCUAAUUUUAAGGGACAAAUUAGUUCAAGGUUUUCUAUAAAUUAAAUGUUAAUAUCAAAAGCACACUGAUGCAAUACCAGUAUCUGGGCCAUUGUGAUGGAAUAACACAGUUUUCUUAGAGCAAUGAUUUUAUCUUUAAUAAAAAACAUUGUAAAAGGUUAUAAAAGACUUCUUACCUUAUGAUCAAACUGAUUCAAAUUAGAUUUGUUUAUCAGGUUUUGUUAAAAUUAGCUUUAACAUUAAUGCAUGAGAUUCCUAAAAUUCUGAUGUCUUAAUAUACGUUAUCAGUAAUAAUUAUGAUUAUGUUAAAUUUUUGUAUGUCACAGAAAUAACCAAAUUUUCUUGUCAAUUGUGACUGUUGAGACUUUUCUCAUCCAUAAUUAUUUUGCUUUAAUUGUUUUUAAAAACAGGCUUAUCAUCAGCUACAGUCUGGAACUUGCUUCUUUUGGGGAAUUCAUUAAAAGAAUCCUUGAAUGCAGGUUUCUGAUAACUUUGGAGAUUUUGCCAUUGGGCUAGAGAGAAAACUUCCAGGAUAUUAAUUGAAAAGCUGAUGUGUUCUUAAAGAUUACUAACCCAAUAUGAAGCAGAGUGGGAGUUGAUUGCAUGGACUGAGCUAAUGGAGGACAGAAAUAAUUUUUAUGGUUUUUUUUUUUUUUUUUUGGUUCUUUGAAACAUUGCUGAUUCUUUUUGUUUUGUUUUUCAGAGUCUGGACAACACUUUUUCUUUUGAGCUGUUUACAACCUCUAGCAAUUGAGUAGAGUGUACUCUUGUAAAUAGAAUUUGAAGCACAUUUCUUUCUCUGCCUGAUUUCUCUAGAAUUUGUAAACUAUUUGUGAAUAUUCUUAAUUUAUGGCAAUAUGGUUGCUUACAUAAGUUCAAUAAUAAUCUGUUUUCUUUUACAAUGAGACACAGUUGGAGGAACUGGUUAUUUUCCCAGGGCUUUGACUGAAAUGGCCUUGUGAAUGGUUCCAGGAAAGCCAAUUUUGGAGACCCUAUGUGGAUGAUGAUGCUUGCUGUACUUUCUGUGGGUAAUCGGGCCAAGUAUAUGGGACCGAAGCUAAUUUUGCAGGUGAGAAAAUGGAGGUCCAGAGAGAAAAGUGACUCACCCAAGCUGAAAACAGUUGCAGGAAGAAAAGCCAGGACAGAACUGGGCUGUUAGAAACCUUGGAGUACACUAAAGAUGAGGAACUGAGUCACCGCAAUGCCAAAUGUAACACGUUGUGGGUCAAAAUUUGGAUGGUUGCGUUGGAAAUUAUUCUGAAGCCACAGACAGGGCUAAAAGGUAAGUAUGAAUAAUUAGUAACGCUUGCCAUAGACAGAUUAAAGUGUUGACAUCACAUAGGACAAGAAUUUGCCACCAAUAGAUGAGAGGAUUGUUGAUGUCCUUGAAUUGGAAAUGAACGAGCUAAUUGGUUACUUACUUAUUCACUCUAACCCAGAAAACAGUAGCUUGUGAAAAAAGUUUUUGCUGGUAACACACAGGAAAUAGAAAAUUUAGUAUUUUUUCCAGUGGAAAAGCCCUCUUGUAUCACCAAGCAGAAGAGAACAUGAUGUCUUUUCUUUUGAUGUAAUUUAGGGUGAUUCACAAAGUGUUCAUAGCAGGGAAGCUGAUGGAAAACUGACAUGCCCCUAGACUUGAGAGAUGCUCUCUAAGUUUAAAAAGGAAACAGCUUAUUGUAAAAUUUAUUUGAAUCGUACGACCUUCCCAUAUCUGUGUAAUUAGCAAAAAGACAAGCUGCAACCAGAGAGGUAAAGUAUCAAUUUAUGUCAUACUUAUUUAUUGAGAACCUCCUCUGAGCUGUGUACUAUGUUAGGCAGAGAAAACAAACAAUAAGCAAGACACAGUCACUGACUCCAUGUGAUUAUCAGGAAGGCUAGGAAAAGUCAUCUCUGCUUGGACAACUCCUUUCCAGAAAUACCUCUCUUCUCUUAAAGGGACAUACACAUGUACAUAUUAUAAUAAAUGAA